CCCAGGUCUCCGCCUAUCGAUGGCAGGGCCAUCGGCUAGAAAUGCCUGGGGCUCUGCUCCGAGGGGGCGCACGUGGAGGCCCCACCGACGCUUCCCUCAGAGCGAACCCUAUGCGGGGCCGUGACCUACGCUUGCGCUUCCCCGGAGGCCUUCAGGUCGCAGCCUGACAACAACCGUCGGGGAACUUUGAAAAAAAGCAAGGUGUAGUACUCACGUGUCCUGGAGGAUUCGGCUUUUGGGACCACUUGGCGGCAAGUCACGGUAUUGUGUUGCUCUCCCAGUGUCGAGAGUUUGAAUCUGUGAGCACUAUCUAUGAGCAAUAUCUACGCUUGCAUUCAUCUCCACUGCCUCUUGUGCCUCAUUAUCGGUAUGCCCAUACAAGAUUCAAGAUUCAACAAUCCUACUUUGUCUGUUGGAGGAGACCAGAGAGUCACACUAAAAUCUCCCACCUUGACUUGUGGAUUAUUUUGAGCUGAAACCAAUUGAGACACAGAGAGCUCUAUGCUCUCCCCCCUCUGCCUAAAAGCAGAACAUGAAUCGCCCUUGUAAACAUGUCCUCCACUUUCCCAUACGAAGAAGAGGAGAGCAGCUCUUACCACCAGGAGGGAGACAGCACGGAGAUGCGUCUGCAUAAAGUAACCAUACUUAUUUACCGUUGGUUCCCCCCAUAUAUUUACCUUCCCACCGUUUGCCAUCCUGAGAAGCCCACUCCCCUUUCCCCUUUUCUAGUCACCUGUCUGCAGUUUAUCAUCCUUCGUUAAAAAGACAUGCAAUCUCUCAAGUCCAAAGGCGUCUUUGAGUUUUUCACUUUUGCGAAGCCUCUGCAUAUAAAAAGAUAUUAUCAUUAAUUAAA